rnacentral:rRNA from 1 species
AACGAACGCUGGCGGCAGGCUUAACACAUGCAAGUCGAACGCCCCGCAAGGGGAGUGGCAGACGGGUGAGUAACGCGUGGGAAUCUACCCAGAUCUACGGAACAACAGGUGGAAACGACUGCUAAUACCGUAUACGCCCUACGGGGGAAAGAUUUAUCGGAUUUGGAUGAGCCCGCGUUGGAUUAGCUAGUUGGUGGGGUAAUGGCCUACCAAGGCGACGAUCCAUAGCUGGUCUGAGAGGAUGAUCAGCCACACUGGGACUGAGACACGGCCCAGACUCCUACGGGAGGCAGCAGUGGGGAAUAUUGGACAAUGGGCGCAAGCCUGAUCCAGCCAUGCCGCGUGAGUGAUGAAGGCCUUAAGGUUGUAAAGCUCUUUCACCGAUGAAGAUAAUGACGGUAGUCGGAGAGGAAGCCCCGGCUAACUUCGUGCCAGCCGCCGCCGUAAGAC